UUCCAGUUGACGAGUCCCAAAUGGGACGAAACGCGAGUCCUGGAU
rnacentral:hammerhead_ribozyme from 1 species